AUACGCUUCUCCAUCCUGUUGCAAGCUCAUUUCUGAAAUACAGAAGUUUACCUGUGUGAUGAAGUCAAAGUGAAGCUAUGAAUCCAAGCAACGGGCUGGACUUCUACACAUUAAGGGCACAGCAUGAAGCAUUGUUUGUAGUGGUCAUUACAUCUCAGCCAGCAGGAUUUAACUGCGUUUACCUUUCAUCUGACGUCUUAGACAUUCUCCUGACCCAAGUGCAAACACUUACAACUAGUAUCACUUCCAGCGGGGAGGAGA